GGGUGAGUAAUGCAUAAGCAACUUGCCCUCUAGACGGGGAUAACUUUGAGAAAUCAGAGCUAAUACCCGAUAUGCACACAAGUCCGCAUGGACGAGGGUGGAAAUCUUUUUUGGCUAGAGGAGAGGCUUAUGUCUGAUUAGCUAGUUGGUAGGGUAAAGGCUUACCAAGGCGACGAUCAGUAGCUGGUUCGAGAGGAUGAACAGCCACACUGGGACUGAGAUACGGCCCAGACUCCUACGGGAGGCAGCAGUCGGGAAUUUUGCACAAUGGGCGAAAGCCUGAUGCAGCGACGCCGUGUGAAUGAAGAAGUCUUUCGGGAUGUAAAAUUCUGUCAGUGGGGACGAUAAUGACAGUACCCAUAAAGGAAGCUCCGGCUAACUACGUGCCGGCAGCCGCGGUAAUACGUAGGGAGCGAGCGUUAUCCGGAUUUAUUGGGCGUAAAGAGCGUGUAGGUGGUUUUGUAAGUUAGGUGUUAAAGACAUCAGCUCAACUGAUGUUUGCACUUAAAACUGCAUUACUUGAGUUUAGGAGAGGGAAGGGGAACUAACAGUGUAGCGGUGAAAUGCGUAGAUAUUGUUAGGAACACCAGUGGCGAAGGCGCCUUCCUGGACUAAAACUGACACUAAAACGCGAAAGCGUGGGGAGCAAACAGGAUUAGAUACCCUGGUAGUCCACGCUGUAAACAAUGUUCACUAGGUGUAGGGGGUAUCGACCCCUUCUGUGCCGAAGCUAACGCGUUAAGUGAACCGCCUGGGGAGUACGGCCGCAAGGCUAAAACUCAAAGGAAUUGACGGGGGCCCGCACAAGCAGUGGAUCAUGUGGUUUAACUCGACGAUACGCGAAAAACCUUACCAUCACUUGACAUCUACCGAAUCCUCUAGAAACAGAGGAGUGCCUUCGGGAAUGGUAAGACAGGUGGUGCAUGGCUGUCGUCAGCUCGUGCCGUGAGGUGUUUGGUUAAGUCCAGCAACGAGCGCAACCCUCAUCGUGUGUUACUACAAGUUAAGUUGAGGACUCACACGAGACGGUCGGUGGAAAGCCGAAGGAAGGUGAGGACGACGUCAAGUCAGCAUGCCCCUUACGUGAUGGGCUACACACAUGAUACAAUGGCCGGCACAAUGAGUCGCGAUCUCGCAAGAGCUAGCUAAUCUCAAAAAACCGGUCUCAGUUCGGAUUGUAGGCUGCAACUCGCCUGCAUGAAGCUGGAAUUGCUAGUAAACGCAGAUCAGCACGCUGCGUUGAAUACGUUCCCGGGCCUUGUACACACCGCCCGUCACACCAUGAAAGCCAGGAAUGCCCGAAGUCGCUGUACUAACCGCAAGGAGGUAGGCGCCGAAGGCAGAA
rnacentral:rRNA from 1 species